rnacentral:rRNA from 1 species
CCUACGGGAGGCAGCAGUAGGGAAUAUUGCUCAAUGAGCGAAACCCUGAAGCAGCGACGCCGCGUGAGCGAUGAAGGCCUUCGGGUCGUAAAGCUCUGUCCUCAGAGAAGAUAAUGACGGUACUUGAGGGUGAAGCCCCGGGUAACGACGUGCCAGCAGCCGCGGGAAUACGUAGGGGGAUAGCUUUAUGCGGAAUUAAGGGGGGAAAAGGGUGCGUGGGUGGUUUUUUAAGUCAGGGGUGAAAGGCUACGGCUAAACCGUAGUAAGCCUUUGAGACUGGGAAACUUGAGUGCAGGAGAGGAGAGUGGAAUUCCUGGUGUAGCGGUGAAAUGCGUAGAUAUGAGGAAGAACACC